UGCGGCCCCGACCCGGCGGGCUGCUCAGAGAGACUGAGAAGGGCGUUGGGCCCAAAGUCCGUGGGCCUGGCAAGGCCUCUGGUGCUGUCCCCGCUCCAGGCCCCCGCUGGUCCCGAGGCCGAGGGUCCGGCCCCGGGUCCCAGCGCGCGGGUCCCGGCACACGGGCGGAACGUGCAGAGGGGAGACUCGGGCUGCGGGUGGGACCCGCAGCCCCAGGACCUGGGGUCGGCGUGGGACCGGGAAGCCCCAGGGCGGCGAUUACCCCGGGCCGAGCACAGCGGCUGUCCCGCCAAAUCUCUGCCACUCGGGCCCCUGAAUCCGCGGGUACUCGGCUGGGCAGGCUGGGACGCAUGGGCGGCCGGAGGCCGGUGUUUUUCCGUUGAAACCAUAGGCUCUCAAGGUUUAUUGAAAGGCUAACUGGUGUGCCUGGCGCGAUGCUCGGUGCCGGAGGAUGAAGUGCUUUCACCUGGACAGGGGCGGAAAACGAGUUUGUCCUGCUCAUCAGUGGACAUAGGAAAAUUCUAGACCCCUGGUCUAGCAUGAGACACAUUUGAGGACAAAUAAUAAAGGGGGAAAAAAAAAAAAAACCCCAGAAAGAUGAAGGAAAUGAGAACAGUAGUAUU